rnacentral:rRNA from 1 species
GUGAGGAAUAUUGGUCAAUGGGCGCAAGCCUGAACCAGCCAUCCCGCGUGCAGGAAGAAGGCGCUACGCGUUGUAAACUGCUUUUAACCGGGAAGAAACCCCAGGACGUGUCCUGGGUUGACGGUACCGGAGGAAUAAGCACCGGCUAACUUCGUGCCAGCAGCCGCGGUAAUACGAAGGGUGCAAGCGUUAUCCGGAUUCAUUGGGUUUAAAGGGUGCGUAGGCGGAGCGUUAAGUCAGUGGUGAAAUCCUGCAGCUUAACUGUAGACUUGCCAUUGAUACUGGCGCUCUUGAGUGCGCUUGAAGUGGGCGGAAUGUGCCGUGUAGCGGUGAAAUGCUUAGAUAUGGCACAGAACACCAAUUGCGAAGGCAGCUCACUAAGGCGAUACUGACGCUGAGGCACGAAAGCGUGGGGAUCGAACAGGAUUAGAUACCCGUGUAGUCC